AACAAGGCGUACCUGCGGACCUGCGGAGGGAUCAUUACAGAGUUCGUGCCCUUGCGGGUAGAUCUCCCACCCUUGUGUAUUUUCUACAUUUUGUUGCUUUGGCAGGCCGUUGGUUCGCCAACCACCGGCUCACGGGCUGGUGCGUGCCUGCCAGAGGACCUCUCAAACUCGGUUUGUUAGUGUUGUCUGAGUACCAUAACAAUCGUUAAAACUUUUAACAACGGAUCUCAGAUCGGAAGA
rnacentral:misc_RNA from 1 species